rnacentral:sRNA from 1 species
GCUGAGGCUAAGGCUGAUACUAAGGCUGAUACUGAGGGUGAGCCUGUGACUGAAGUUCAGGUUGGGCCCGAAUCUGAGGCUGUGGCUGAUGGAAGAGAUGCUGCCCCUGCAGCAGGUGAAGCUAACGAAGUGAUUGAUGUGGAGUUGGUAGCCGGCACUUUGAAUUCUUCUGACCCAACUCCCACCACUAACCCGUAAUUGGACGAUCUACUGAGGACAAGCACACACCAAACACUGUCACCGUUAAUUGCUCACACCGCUUAAAGGAGAUUGAUUGUGUCAUAGAUGCCCCUCCGCCCCCCCCACAUUUUCCACAUCACACCACGGAGCAAAUCGGUGACGUCGCCGCCCAUAUGGCGUAUAUGUAUAUAUAUAGAUCGAGUCGCAUACAUACAUAUUUAUAUAGAGAGUCUAUGAUUACACAAUAAGUCUUACCGCUAACAAUGUACAAAUAUUAAA